rnacentral:misc_RNA from 1 species
UAAUAUAUUUAAAAAAAUAAUUUUAUCAACAAUAAUUCCACUAGCAAUAUCCAAUAGACACUCAAAUGUUAAUUGAUGCCCACAUUCUUCAAAUAAAUUCCCAACAAAAUUAUUGUUAUUUAAUGUUCAGUAAGGUUAUAAAGCUUGAGAGAUUUAUGUCUCAUAUUCCUAAAGGAAUACAUGAUGUGGGGUUUUGGCUCCACUCAAACAGAAUGUCACAAAAUGAACCAAUAAAAGGAGACCUGAAAAAAUGAGAGCAAAAGGCACAGUGAAUGAGGUAUGAAUGUGAUCAAGAAAAUCUUCAAUAAAGAUAUGCAUUAGGUUCCAUAAAGUCUGAUGUAAUGAAUUAGUUUCAACGUUUGGUAUACCCUUUUUUAUGGCAUAAUUAUGUGGUUGUCAUUCUUUGGUUUCAUUGUUGUAAGACCAGAGCUUUGCUUGUAAUUGCAUCUAUCUUUCAAUGAAUAGACAACAUAUAAGGUGUGGCCUAUUGUGAUUGGUAAAGAUGAGCAAGUGGACAAAGGAUGAGACUUACUUGCUCAAAAUAAGCUAAUUAUUAGGGCCCACAUCAAUAAUCUUCAUCAAAAUCAAAUGCCACUAACCAUACCUUUUUGCUACCAAACAAACUCAAAAUAUUGUUUUCUUUUUUAGAGUUCAAGUAUAAUUAGUUUAGAGAUUCAAUUAGAAGUGUGAAGUAUAAUUAGUUUAAGAAGUUUAAUAGAAUUUAAAUUAUAAAGUUUAAUAAUUAGAGUUCUAAAAGGACUAGAUUUUGAUGGCUUAUAUAUAUGUGUAGUUGGUUAACCAUUAUAUGGAAUAUAUUGUAGAGAGCUUACGAAGUGGAGAGGUGUGUUGAAUUCCGUGAAUUUUGAUUGAGUGAUUUUGAGGGUGAGAAAAAUAAUUAGUGGUUGUAAUUAUUUUUCCUUGAUAGUGGAUUUCUUUGGUGAAGUAGGCUUACGCCGAAUCACGUU